AAUUGAAAAAGUGUAAUGUUCCCAUCUCACAUUCUCAACCAACGGCAAUGGCAGCCUCAUCCUCCUUCUCCUCCUUCCUCUCCUUUCUUCUCCCACCAAAGCCACAAUCGCACCCUCCUUCCCUCGCGCGUUUCUCGCUUCGAAGCCACAAGCUCUGUGCUCAACACCAGGACCACCACUCACCGGAGCUGUCCUCGCACGUUAUAAUGAACCCUUCUUACGCGCACGCAAACACGCUAUUCUUCCGAUCUGCGUACAACGUGCAGGUGGUUGUUGACGAGAACGAGCCCGAGGAGAGGCUGCUCAACCGCUUUAGGAGAGAGGUCAUGAAAGCUGGAGUCAUACAAGAAUGCAAGAGGAGACGCUUCUUUGAGAACAAGCAGGAGGAGAAGAAACGCAAGAACCGCGAAGCUGCUAAGCGUAAAAGCAGAAGCAGGCGCCCUCAAUCAAGAUUUCAAGCACAAAACAAGAACGAUGUUGCAACAACCAAGAAGGUAGAGGAUGAUGAUAACUGGGAUCUUCCAGAAGUAGACGCUCCAUAUAUUUCAACAACAUGAUCCACUUACAUUCUCACUUCUGCGGCCACCUCAAAGCCAUUUUAUCCAAAGCAUUGUCCCCUGGUGCACGUUUUCUGAAGCGAAUCCAAUCAUAUAGAACAAUCCUCAGGUCAUGAACUUUGCUUUUUAGAUCGUCACAACAGUUAGCUUGAAUGGUAUAAACCUCCUUGAACAUAUCCUUUUUUAGCUGACAAAACCCACCAAAAGAGCUUGUAUUUACUAAAUGAAUCCGAAAGCCAUACGAGUCAGCUAUAUCUUGCCUUGCUUUUAUUGUUGUACACAAUGACUCUUCUACGGGAUCGUUUGGAUAAAGAAUCUUGGUCAAUUUCCAAUAGUUGAAAAAUUCGAAGGAAAUGGUAUUUGCUUUCAAGAAGAAUAUUCCCUCAUCAUACAGGGUAGUGAUAUAGAAGGAGGCAUACCAGCACGAUGAAGAAAGCUAAGAGAGAAAGAUACACAGAAUUUCUCAAUCUGGAUGCUCUCAUCCUUCAAAAUGCAAAUGGGUAGACCUACUUAAUCUUGAAAGUUGAUCUCACGUUUAUCAAGUGCUGUGAAAAAGAAACCAAUGAAUGUGUUGAGAGAAGAUCCCUUUGCAUGAAAAGCCAGAAUCAGGGAGAUUUGAGAAAAUCACAUUAUACAAAUUAUAUAUGCUCAAAUGGGUUGACAUGUUGAGUGAAUUCAAUAGGCAAAACAAUAAAGAAAAAGUUAAAAAUAAAUGCUAAUAAAUAUAUUUAACUAUCCAAUUAAACACUUUGUCCGUUUCAGGUUUUGAGAAAUCUGAUAUGCUUUCGAAAUUUGGCUUUAUUAUGGUAACUUUUGUUGCUUAGGUGACCCCAUGUGGAUGCAAUGGAUGCAUCUUCUUCAUCCCCCUAAGAAAAAGGAUUACCAAAAUCAGGAUCUUUUACAGUCAUUGCUAGAUACACCACCCCCUUUGGUUUGCUUUACAUAAUAAA